CGGGGCGUAGCGCAGUUGGCUAGCGCGCUUGCUUGGGGUGCAAGAGGUCGCGGGUUCAAGUCCCGCCGCUCCGACCA
rnacentral:tRNA from 1 species